rnacentral:rRNA from 1 species
UUUACACAUGCAAGUCGAACGGUGAACUCGGUGCUUGCACCGGGGGAUCAGUGGCGAACGGGUGAGUAACACGUGGGCAAUCUGCCCCUAACUCUGGGAUAACUGCGGGAAACCGCAGCUAAUACCGGAUACGACCCAGGCAGGCAUCUGCACUGGGUGGAAAGUUUUUCGGUUAGGGAUGAGCUCGCGGCCUAUCAGCUUGUUGGUGGGGUAAUGGCCUACCAAGGCGACGACGGGUAGCCGGCCUGAGAGGGCGACCGGCCACACUGGGACUGAGACACGGCCCAGACUCCUACGGGAGGCAGCAGUGGGGAAUAUUGCACAAUGGGCGAAAGCCUGAUGCAGCGACGCCGCGUGAGGGACGAAGGCCUUCGGGUUGUAAACCUCUUUCAGCAGGGAAGAAGCGAAAGUGACGGUACCUGCAGAAGAAGCACCGGCUAACUACGUGCCAGCAGCCGCGGUAAUACGUAGGGUGCAAGCGUUGUCCGGAAUUAUUGGGCGUAAAGAGCUCGUAGGCGGUUUGUCGCGUCUGCUGUGAAAACUCAGGGCUUAACCCUGAGCCUGCAGUGGGUACGGGCAGACUAGAGUGUGGUAGGGGAGAUCGGAAUUCCUGGUGUAGCGGUGGAAUGCGCAGAUAUCA